UUAAAUUGAAGAGUUUGAUCAUGGCUCAGAUUGAACGCUGGCGGCAGGCCUAACACAUGCAAGUCGAACGGUAACAGGAAGCAGCUUGCUGCUUUGCUGACGAGUGGCGGACGGGUGAGUAAUGUCUGGGAAACUGCCYGAUGGAGGGGGAUAACUACUGGAAACGGUAGCUAAUACCGCAUAACGUCGCAAGACCAAAGAGGGGGACCUUAGGGCCUCUUGCCAUCGGAUGUGCCCAGAUGGGAUUAGCUAGUAGGUGGGGUAACGGCUCACCUAGGCGACGAUCCCUAGCUGGUCUGAGAGGAUGACCAGCCACACUGGAACUGAGACACGGUCCAGACUCCUACGGGAGGCAGCAGUGGGGAAUAUUGCACAAUGGGCGCAAGCCUGAUGCAGCCAUGCCGCGUGUAUGAAGAAGGCCUUCGGGUUGUAAAGUACUUUCAGCGGGGAGGAAGGGAGUAAAGUUAAUACCUUUGCUCAUUGACGUUACCCGCAGAAGAAGCACCGGCUAACUCCGUGCCAGCAGCCGCGGUAAUACGGAGGGUGCAAGCGUUAAUCGGAAUUACUGGGCGUAAAGCGCACGCAGGCGGUUUGUUAAGUCAGAUGUGAAAUCCCCGGGCUCAACCUGGGAACUGCAUCUGAUACUGGCAAGCUUGAGUCUCGUAGAGGGGGGUAGAAUUCCAGGUGUAGCGGUGAAAUGCGUAGAGAUCUGGAGGAAUACCGGUGGCGAAGGCGGCCCCCUGGACGAAGACUGACGCUCAGGUGCGAAAGCGUGGGGAGCAAACAGGAUUAGAUACCCUGGUAGUCCACGCCGUAAACGAUGUCGACUUGGAGGUUGUGCCCUUGAGGCGUGGCUUCCGGAGCUAACGCGUUAAGUCGACCGCCUGGGGAGUACGGCCGCAAGGUUAAAACUCAAAUGAAUUGACGGGGGCCCGCACAAGCGGUGGAGCAUGUGGUUUAAUUCGAUGCAACGCGAAGAACCUUACCUGGUCUUGACAUCCACGGAAGUUUUCAGAGAUGAGAAUGUGCCUUCGGGAACCGUGAGACAGGUGCUGCAUGGCUGUCGUCAGCUCGUGUUGUGAAAUGUUGGGUUAAGUCCCGCAACGAGCGCAACCCUUAUCCUUUGUUGCCAGCGGUCCGGCCGGGAACUCAAAGGAGACUGCCAGUGAUAAACUGGAGGAAGGUGGGGAUGACGUCAAGUCAUCAUGGCCCUUACGACCAGGGCUACACACGUGCUACAAUGGCGCAUACAAAGAGAAGCGACCUCGCGAGAGCAAGCGGACCUCAUAAAGUGCGUCGUAGUCCGGAUUGGAGUCUGCAACUCGACUCCAUGAAGUCGGAAUCGCUAGUAAUCGUGGAUCAGAAUGCCACGGUGAAUACGUUCCCGGGCCUUGUACACACCGCCCGUCACACCAUGGGAGUGGGUUGCAAAAGAAGUAGGUAGCUUAACCUUCGGGAGGGCGCUUACCACUUUGUGAUUCAUGACUGGGGUGAAGUCGUAACAAGGUAACCGUAGGGGAACCUGCGGUUGGAUCACCUCCUUACCUUAAAGAAGC
rnacentral:rRNA from 1 species